rnacentral:snRNA from 1 species
CUUGCUCUGCGUUACAUACGCCAACACUGGAACGAGGCUGAGAGGUUAGCGUGGGCCCUGCGCGAAGAGAACAUGAAAAUUCAUGAAGCGUUUCAGAUUUUU